rnacentral:lncRNA from 1 species
AAUGACUUUAGAUUUGUUAAUUUUAAGUACGAGGUGAAGAGAUGCAUGGGAAUACCCUGUUCUCACCUCAGUUUGUUCCAUCUGCAUAAGCUAUUUUAUCUUUCAAUACCCCUUUUGAUUUUUUUCAUUUUGGUCCUUGAAUAAAUUAAGGAUCAUUUAAAAUAAAUAAAUGUCGACUUCGAGAUACUAUUAAAUAUAUUCUUUGCAAUUCGUCCGAUGGGAAAUUGGUACAAAUCAGUCUCCAAAGAACUCAGAUCAGGAUUCUAGCCAGAUUUGAAGAGAAACAGACUUCAGAUAGAUAUGGUUUUCAGGUAAGAAAAGGUAGGAAUUCUCGUCAGCCCCCAAACAAUGAUUUUACUUGCUUGGUGACACAGUUGACCUUUCUCUGCAGGGCCAUGGUCUUCUAAGUACCUCUGCUCUAAUUAUAUCUUGCUAUACCCACGAAUUUGAUUGUUGUUCUAUUUCCAUGGAUCAUUAAUUUCCCAUUCCAGCAGAGAUUCCCUGUAGUCAAGUUCCUGAGGGGUAGCUGCUUGUUAUUUUCUCUUUCAAUCAUGUGCAUUUUAUAUUUACUAUUAAAUUUUUGAAUAAUGACACCUUCUCCAAGCGGCUGUAAGUUUGGCUGUGAUGAACCUCUCCGGAGAAGCCUGUGAGCUUUCACAUCUGCUGGAAAACUCUGGGGAGAAUCUUUCUAAUGAGGAAUUCCUGGAACAAGAAAUUACAGAUGAUCUCUUUUUCAGAAGACAUGGCAAGCAAGUGAAUGCCUUUUUCUCCCAUCAGAGAAGAAGUCAACCUCUCUGUUCAACUUUUUGGUGGAGGCUACCAUCCAGUUUCUAG